UUCUGUCCCGCGCAUCCCUUUGUUCCAAUAUUCAAACCAGUAGAAAGAUUAUUGAGCAAUGCGCAUGUGCGGGACAGAU
rfam:Caenorhabditis briggsae complete genome, chrX